rnacentral:rRNA from 1 species
GAUCAGCCGUCUCCGAAUCAUCUGUUUAANAGUUUGAUCAUGGCUCACCNUUGAACGUUGGCGGCAGGCCUAACACAUGCAAGUCGAACGGUAACAGGAAGCAGCUUGCUGCUUCGCUGACGAGUGGCGGACGGGUGAGUAAUGUCUGGGAAACUGCCUGAUGGAGGGGGAUAACUACUGGAAACGGUAGCUAAUACCGCAUAACGUCGCAAGACCAAAGAGGGGGACCUUCGGGCCUCUUUGGCCAUCGGAUGUGCCCAGACUGGGAUUAGCUAGUAGGUAGGGGUAACGGCUCACCUAGGCGACGAUCCCUAGGCUGGUCUGAGAGGAUGACCAGCCACAACUUGGGAAACUUGAGACACGGUCCAGGACUCCUACGGGAGGCAGCAAGUGGGGAAUAUUGCACAAUGGGCGCAAGCCUGAUGGCAAGCCAUGCCGCGUGUAUGAAGNAAGGCCUUCGGGUUGUAAAGUACUUUCAGCCGGGGAGGAANNGCGAUAACGGUUAAUAACCUUGUCGAUUUGACGUUUACCCGCAGAAGAAGCACCGGGCU